AUUGAACGCUGGCGGCAGGCCUAACACAUGCAAGUCGAGCGAGCGGCGGACGGGUGUGUAAUGUAUGGGGAACUGCCCGAUAGAGGGGGAUAACUCCUGGAAACGGUAGCUAUUACCGCACAUCACCGGGUGUGUCCACAUGUGAUUAGCUAGUAGGGGGGGUAACGGCUCACCUAGGCGACGAUCCCUAGCUGGUCUGAGAGGAUGAUCAGCCACACUGGAACUGAGACACGGCCCAGACUCCUACGGGAGGCAGCAGUGGGGAAUAUUGCACAAUGGGCGCAAGCCUGAGGCAGCCAUGCCGCGUGUAUGAAGAAGGCCCUCGGGUUGUAAAGUACUUUCAGUGGGGAGGCGUUACCGGCAGAAGAAGCACCGGCUAACUCCGUGCCAGCAGCCGCGGUAAUAC
rnacentral:rRNA from 1 species